GUCCCUUUGGGGACAUUUAAUAAAAUUGGAAUGAUACAGAGAAGAUUAGCAUGACCCCUCAUCAAGGAUGACAUGAAUAAAUCAACUUAAGGACAAGAAAAUA